CAAAACCCUUCACCCAAUAUUUGUUAGGGUUUAUGCUCAUUAUGAGUCCUUGGGCUGAGAAACACUCAUGAAUCCAUAAGAACUUUGUCCCAAAAAAACCCACGAUUGUAACUGAAAUUUGAUUCAUUUUCAGACAAUCAGAAGCAGCAUUUGUGCCAGCAAUUGGGAACUUGAGUUGACCUGAGCCUUUCCAACAGCCAGCAGAAUUGAACGCUUCUCAGCUUUUCAAGAACUCGUCUCAACCAAACUCCCUGGCAUGCACAGGAUGCUGCUGCAAUGAGUUCAGUCUCUGUAGUGGACAGGGUCAUAACUGGUUGCUUCUUUGAAGGCCAAGAAACUGCUCCAGUUCCAAGCAUGAAGAACUGCAAUCAGUUUAUUGACUUCAAACACAUACCAAGCCUGUUACGCAGCUUUAAGAACGCUUUCAAUUUUAAGAAGCUGUCAUUAUAUCAGAAAGUUGUUCUUAUGUGCUGCAGUGCACCAGUUCUACAGUUCUCUCUUUUGUCAAUUCACGAUGCUGCUGCAAUGAGUUCAGUCUCUGUAGUGGACAGGGUCAUAACUGGUUGCUUCUUUGAAGGCCAAGAAACUGCUCCAGUUCCAAGCAUGAAGGAUGCUGCUGCAAUGAGUUCAGUCUCUGUAGUGGACAGGGUCAUAACUGGUUGCUGGUUGCUUCUUUGAAGGCCAAGAAACUGCUCCAGUUCCAAGCAUGAAGGUGUAUCUAGAAGUGCUUUUCCUAUCAUUAAUGUCUCCUGCAUAAUCACUGUCAGCAAACCUGACUAAUUCUUCUUCUCCACCUCUUUUAUAAGCAAUCCCCAGCUCAGCCGUUUCCUUCAAAUAUCUUAAAAUUCUCUUCGCAGCUUGCAAAUGUAUUUCAGUUUGAUAGGUUUGCAAAUAUCAGUAUGAAUCAGUUGAGGACGUUGUAAAGCUCUCCACAAGCUCAUUUUGGGAAUAACUUCUCGAUGUCAUUUUCCCACCAAGCAGUCUGAACACACCUUUGAUGAAGCUUGGAGACUUGGUAGUCCUCUCACCAUUUUAUUGUAUAUAAGAGUUCUUAAUUCCUUGAAGCUAAGAUGUUCAAAUUGACAAUGCCACAAAUAUGAGUUGUCUUCAGUCACAAUUUGAAAACAUGUUAUACUUGAGGCAUUACUGAAGUCAACACAACAAAUAUUCUAUUUGUUGACAUUCUGGACUGCAUAAUUAAUCCCCUAUUUGGAUAAUAAAUAUUACACA